ACGGAAGGCAGCAGUGGGGAAUAUUGGGCAAUGGGCGCAAGCCUGACCCAGCAACGCCGCGUGAAGGAAGAAGGCUUUCGGGUUGUAAACUUCUUUUGUCAGGGAACAGUAGAAGAGGGUACCUGACGAAUAAGCUCCGGCUAACUACGUGCCAGCAGCCGCGGUAAUACGUAGGGAGCGAGCGUUGUCCGGAUUUACUGGGUGUAAAGGGCGUGUAGGCGGGAUUACAAGUCAGACGUGAAAUUCCGGGGCUCAACCCCGGAACUGCAUUUGAAACUGUAGUUCUUGAGUACUGGAGAGGCAGGCGGAAUUCCUAGUGUAGCGGUGAAAUGCGUAGAUAUUAGGAGGAACACCAGUGGCGAAGGCGGCCUGCUGGACAGCAACUGACGCUGAGGCGCGAAAGCGUGGGGAGCAAACAGGAUUAGAUACCCUGGUA
rnacentral:rRNA from 1 species